rnacentral:rRNA from 1 species
GACGAACGCUGGCGGCGUGCUUAACACAUGCAAGUCGAACGGAAAGGCCCUGCUUUUGUGGGGUGCUCGAGUGGCGAACGGGUGAGUAACACGUGAGUAACCUGCCCUUGACUUUGGGAUAACUUCAGGAAACUGGGGCUAAUACCGGAUAGGAGCUCCUGCUGCAUGGUGGGGGUUGGAAAGUUUCGGCGGUUGGGGAUGUACUCGCGGCUUAUCAGCUUGUUGGUGGGGUAGUGGCUUACCAAGGCUUUGACGGGUAGCCGGCCUGAGAGGGUGACCGGCCACAUUGGGACUGAGAUACGGCCCAGACUCCUACGGGAGGCAGCAGUGGGGAAUAUUGCACAAUGGGCGGAAGCCUGAUGCAGCAACGCCUCGUGCGGGAUGACGGCCUUCGGGUUGUAAACCGCUUUCGCCUGUGACGAAGCGUGAGUGACGGUAAUGGGUAAAGAAGCACCGGCUAACUACGUG